GACGUAGGGCGCGAGCGUUGUCCGGAUUUAUUGGGCGUAAAGAGCUCGUAGGCGGCUUGUCGCGUCGGAUGUGAAAGCCCGGGGCUUAACUCCGGGUCUGCAUUCGAUACGGGCAGGCUAGAGUUCGGUAGGGGAGAUCGGAAUUCCAGGUGUAGCGGUGAAAUGCGUAGAUAUCUGGAGGAACACCGGUGGCGAAGGCGGCAUCCUGGACCAACACUGACGCUGAUGAGCGAAAGCCAGGGGAGCAAACGGG
rnacentral:rRNA from 1 species